GAUGAACGCUGGCGGCGUGCCUAAUACAUGCAAGUCGAGCGAACAGAUAAGGAGCUUGCUCCUUUGACGUUAGCGGCGGACGGGUGAGUAACACGUGGAUAACCUACCUAUAAGACUGGGAUAACUUCGGGAAACCGGAGCUAAUACCGGAUAACAUAUUGAACCGCAUGGUUCAAUAGUGAAAGGCGGCUUUGCUGUCACUUAUAGAUGGAUCCGCGCCGUAUUAGCUAGUUGGUAAGGUAACGGCUUACCAAGGCAACGAUACGUAGCCGACCUGAGAGGGUGAUCGGCCACACUGGAACUGAGACACGGUCCAGACUCCUACGGGAGGCAGCAGUAGGGAAUCUUCCGCAAUGGGCGAAAGCCUGACGGAGCGACGCCGCGUGAGUGAUGAAGGUCUUCGGAUCGUAAAACUCUGUUAUCAGGGAAGAACAAAUGUGUAAGUAACUGUGCACAUCUUGACGGUACCUGAUCAGAAAGCCACGGCUAACUACGUG
rnacentral:rRNA from 1 species